rnacentral:rRNA from 1 species
UAGCAAUACGAUGGAAAGUCUAGUGGCGAACGGGUGCUUAACACGUAGGCAACCUGCCAGGAAGUGGGGGAUAGCUCGCCGAAAGGCGAAUUAAUACCGCAUGUGAUUAGAGAGGACAUCCUUUCGAAAUUAAAGUCGGGGCAACCUGACGCUUCUUGUGGGGCCUGCGGCCUAUCAGCUAGUUGGUGGGGUAAAGGCUCACCAAGGCUUUGACGGGUAGCUGGUCUGAGAGGACGACCAGCCACACUGGGACUGAGACAUGGCCCAGACACCUACGGGUGGCGGCAGUCGAGAAUUUUUGACAAUGGGGGAAACCCUGAUCGAGCGACGCCGCGUGGAGGAUGAAGGUCUUCGGAUUGUAAACUCCUGUCAUUGGGGAACAAGGUGCAUACGUUAACUGCGUGCGCAUUGAUAGUACCCGAAGAGGAAGAGACGGCUAACUCUGUGCCAGCAGCCGCGGUAAUACAGAGGUCUCAAGCGUUGUUCGGAUUCAUUGGGCGUAAAGGGUGCGUAGGCGGCGCGGUAAGUCGGGUGUGAAAUCUCGGAGCUUAACUCCGAAACUGCAUUCGAUACUGCCGUGCUUGAGGACUGGAGAGGAGACUGGAAUUCACGGUGUAGCA